UAUACCCUAAAACUUAAAGUAUAAUUAAAAAAAAAAAAAAAGGGAGAGCUGUGAUGGAGGUAAGCACUAGAUAGUCCCAAGAUGCUAACUUUCUAGUUCAUUCAUUUAGAAAACCUUUAUUGUAUGCCUUUACUGAAAGAUAGCCUUUUAUAUAAGACAAAAUACAAGAAAGAGGAGGAGAAUACUGGGGAAUAAUAAAUAAAUUAGGCAUGUGGUUUCUUGUCCUGUAUAAGACAUUGUAUACAUAUCAUAUGAAAUAUUACCAUCCCCAUUUCACAGAAGAGGAUCCUGUAGUUUAGAGAGCUUAGGUAACUUAAAGCUACAUAGGUAGUCAUGUGAAAUGGUAGAAAUCAAAUCUAGGUCUAAUCUGACUUCUAAAUUCUGUCUUUUUUCCCCCACACUACAUUGCCUUCCAGGACAAUAUAGCAGGAGAGGUGGAUAACAAGAAAAUACAAUGCAAUGUGAUGAGUGCUAUAACCAAGAUAAGUCUUACUGGAAUUAACUCUCCCUGAAGGAGCUUUGGAAGUCUCAAGAAAGAGGUGACAUUUGAGUUAGGUUUUAUUAAUGAUUAGGGACUCACCAGGUGAAGCCCAGAAAAGGCAUGCUUGGAAGCCUGUGAAAUGGACUUGAGAUUGUACAGAGUAUGACAAGGAGUUAGGGUAGGCUGGAAUACAGAAUUGGUAGGGUUGUUCAAUUUCCAGAGAUAAAGGUGAACAGUGCAUUUUGAGUCUAGAUUGAGUAAUGCUGUAUACGUCAAACAAAGGAGUUUAUAUUUAAUUUUACAGGCAAUGGGGAGUCACUGGAAUGCUUGAACAACGUUACUUUAAGAUGAUUUUGACAAUGCGUGGAGACUAGAUCAAAGGAAAGAGAUGCUGGAUGUCAGUGUCCAAAGUGUCCUUGGAAGCCACAUGUUGAAGACACCAAAGCUUCUGAAAGCCUGAACGGCUGCAUGGUGUGGAUUCUUCUCUCCCCAGCCCCAUCUCCCCAACACUGCUGCUGUUAGACUUAACAAAAGCUAGAAAUAAACUUCUACUGAGUUAAUACUCUGAGAUUUCAGGUUUUAUCUUUUAGCCACAGAGAUUCCAGAGUUUAUCUGCUAACUAAAAGACGAAUGCUGCAACUCAGCUGAUAAUGGACUCUAUCCCACUUGCGAUACAAAUCUGGGUUUCUAGCCAACAGCAGCUCUUAAAUUCCAUUUAUUUGGAGACUAUAAAAUUGAUUCACACACCAAACACCUGUUUAGCUUCCUACAUAGGGAAUCUAUGUCCACAAGUGACUCAUACUACAGAGUUUCAACAUGCAGUCUCUUCUCAGGCUGAGUUUUAGACUGAGGCCAGUGUUCAUGGGGACCCACCUUGGGCGUAGAAAGCCAUGGAGGCCUGAACAGCUAACCAGAUGGUUAGAAACAUCACUCUGACUAAACCUUACAUACUGUGCCCUCACACAUAUGUCUUCUCAUUCUACUGGGGAUGAGGGCCACCAAGGGCCCUCAUAGCCACAUAGGAAAGUUACCCAGCAUAAGAAAAUGACAGAACCAGGACUGAAGGCUG
rnacentral:lncRNA from 10 species